AUAUCAAUAAGCGGAGGAAAAGAAACUAACAAGGAUUCCCCUAGUAACUGCGAGUGAAGCGGGAAAAGCUCAAAUUUAAAAUCUGGCGGUCUCCGGCUGUCCGAGUUGUAAUCUAGAGAAGUGUUACUCGUGCUGGACCGUGUAAACGUCUCCUGGAAUGGAGCAUCAUAGAGGGUGAGAAUCCCGUCUUUGACAGGACUGCCGUUGCAUGUGU
rnacentral:rRNA from 1 species